rnacentral:rRNA from 1 species
CCCGCUGAACUUAAGCAUAUCAGUAAGCGGAGGAAAAGAAACUAACAAGGAUUCCCCUAGUAACUGCGAGUGAAGCGGGAAAAGCUCAAAUUUGAAAACCACUUAUGGUGGUGUCGUAUUUGAGAGGAUGUGGAGACGGUAGAUGGCAUUUUGCUCACCAGGUCCUUCUGUAAAGAGGCACCACACUAGGGAGAGAGUCCCGUGGGCGUCAAAAUGAUACUUUCACAAUCUACACAUCUGACGAGUCGGAUUGUUUGAGAAUGCAGUCCUAAAUGGGUGAUACAUGUCAUCUAAAGCUAUAAUAAUGGCAAGAGACCGAUAGCAUACAAGUACCGUGAGGGAAACGAUGAAAAGAACUUGCAACCAAGUGUGAAAAGUGCGUGAAAUUGUGGAGAGGGAAACGCACGUCUAUUUGUAAGAGGGAUAGGAAGCUCAUUAGGUUGUGAAAGAAGCACUUGUGGAAGAUGGCUUUGGUCCUAGUGAUCAACUGCUUUAUACACGCGAGAUGUGAACACAAUGGUAAUAGUCAGCUGCCUAUGAAAGAAUGAUGUGCGACCCGUCUUGAAACACGG